rnacentral:rRNA from 1 species
AUUGAACGCUGGCGGCAGGCCUAACACAUGCAAGUCGAACGAGUGGCGGACGGGUGAGUAAUGUCUGGUAAACUGCCCGACGGAUGGGGAUAACUACUGGAAACGGUAGCUAAUACCGCAUACCAUCGGAUGUGCCCAGUUGGGAUUAGCUUGUAGGUGAGGUAACGGCUCACCUAGGCGACGAUCCCUAGCUGGUCUGAGGGGUUGACCAGCCACACUGGAACUGAGACACGGUCCAUACGCCUACGGGAGGCAGAAGUGGGGAAUAUUGCACAAUGGACGCAAGCCUGAUGCAGCCAUGACGCGUGUAUGAAGAAGGCCUUCGGGUUGUAAAGUACUUUCAGCGGGGAGGCGUUACCCGCAGAAGAAGCACCGGCUAACUCCGUGCCAGCAGCCGCGGUAAUAC